UCAGAAUGAUCGCAGCUGCCUCCAAUUCUGAGGUCUUUUCAGUAAAGUAUCUAGAAGCCAUGAAAAAAAAGUCAUGGCUACCUAAGCCCAAAGUUUGAUACUGCCAGAGGAGCAAAGUAUGUUUUCUGCCUUUCUUCUGCCUUCCCAAUCUUGGUAAGCAUUUCUCAUUGAUAUAUUCUAAUGUAGGACUCUGGAGACAGGGAUUCUGAGACCUGCAGUUCCCAGGCUUUGGGCCCCCGUGAUCCAGGGAAGAGCACUGAAGCGAUGCUGGGCCAGUGAAAGAAAAGCUUUCCUUGGGACUCUUCUGAUGCAACUAGUGGGGAAGACUCGCUGUUGCUUCUGGGAUCACAGCUAAUUUAAGUUGCGCUUUUGUUACUUGCAAGCCAAUGAGUCCUCAUGAAUGGCAGAAGGGAGACCAAGUGAACAUUGCUGAGUCUGAGUGUGCCACACACUAUGCAGAGAGGACUAACAAAGGAGCUUGAGCAGCCGGAGAAGAAGGAAUUGGUUCAGACAGUAAAUCUGGGAGGCAACUAUCUUCUGAACAUCAUCCCAACUAAAGAUGGAUUGACUGUUCCCAUCGUCCAAGAAAGGCUUCUUGCUGUUGGGAAGUGGCUGAGCAUCAAUGGGGAAGCUAUCUAUGCCUACAAACCAUGGAGGGUGCAAUCGGAGUAC